AAUGAACGUUGGCGGCGUGGAUUAGGCAUGCAAGUCGAACGAAGGCUUCGGCCUUAGUGGCGCACGGGUGCGUAACGCGUGGGAACCUGCCCCUCGGUUCGGAAUAACAGUUAGAAAUGACUGCUAAUACCGGAUGAUGACUUCGGUCCAAAGAUUUAUCGCCGAGGGAUGGGCCCGCGUAGGAUUAGCUAGUUGGUGGGGUAAAGGCCUACCAAGGCGACGAUCCUUAGCUGGUCUGAGAGGAUGAUCAGCCACACUGGGACUGAGACACGGCCCAGACUCCUACGGGAGGCAGCAGUGGGGAAUAUUGGACAAUGGGCGAAAGCCUGAUCCAGCAAUGCCGCGUGAGUGAUGAAGGCCUUAGGGUUGUAAAGCUCUUUUACCAGGGAUGAUAAUGACAGUACCUGGAGAAUAAGCUCCGGCUAACUCCGUG
rnacentral:rRNA from 1 species